AGGACCUGUGUAUAUGUCCUUGGGCUCAUAGCUAAAACCAAACAAGGCUGUGAUAUUCUAAAAUGUCACAACUGGGAUGCUGUGAGGCAUAGUCGCAAACAUCUGUGGCCAGUGGUUCCAGAUGAUGUGGAACAACUCUGUAAUGAACUUUCAUCUAUCCCAAGCACUGCUCCAAACGGUUUGAACUCAGGAUCAACCAGCUCUAGACAUAAUAGCGAAAGUGAAUCUGUGCCAGCGAGUAUGUUCAUAUUGGAGGAUGACCGGUUUGGCAGCAGCUCUACUAGUACAUUUUUCCUUGAUAUCAACGAAGAUACAGAGCCAGCAUUUUAUGACCGAUCUGGACCCAUAAAGGAUAAAAAUUCAUUCCCUUUCUUUGCUUCUAGUAAACUUGUGAAGAAUCGUAUCUUAAAUUCGCUUACUUUGCCUAACAAAAAACAUCGUAGUAGCAGUGAUCCAAAAGGAGGGAAAUUAUCAUCUGAAAGUAAGACAAGCAACAGGCGAAUCAGAACACUUACGGAGCCCAGUGUUGAUUUUAAUCAUAGUGAUGAUUUUACACCCAUAUCCACUGUACAGAAAACAUUACAAUUAGAGACUUCAUUUAUGGGGAAUAAGCACAUUGAAGACACUGGUAGUACACCAAGCAUUGGAGAAAAUGACUUAAAAUUCACCAAGAAUUUUGGUACAGAGAAUCACAGAGAAAAUACAAGCCGAGAGAGGUUAGUAGUAGAAAGUUCAACGAGCUCACAUAUGAAGAUACGUAGCCAAAGUUUUAAUACAGACACUACAACAAGUGGCAUAAGUUCAAUGAGCUCAAGUCCUUCACGAGAGACAGUAGGUGUAGAUGCUACAACUAUGGACACAGACUGUGGAAGCAUGAGUACUGUGGUAAGUACUAAAACUAUUAAGACAAGCCACUAUUUGACGCCACAGUCUAACCAUCUGUCUCUCUCCAAAUCAAAUUCGGUGUCCCUGGUGCCUCCAGGUUCUUCUCAUACGCUUCCUAGAAGAGCACAGUCCCUUAAAGCACCCUCUAUUGCUACAAUUAAAAGUCUAGCAGAUUGUAACUUUAGUUACACAAGUUCUAGAGAUGCUUUUGGCUAUGCUACACUGAAAAGACUACAGCAACAAAGAAUGCAUCCAUCCUUAUCUCACUCUGAAGCUUUGGCAUCUCCAGCAAAAGAUGUGCUAUUUACUGAUACCAUCACCAUGAAGGCCAACAGUUUUGAGUCCAGAUUAACACCAAGCAGGUUCAUGAAAGCCUUAAGUUAUGCAUCAUUAGAUAAAGAAGAUUUAUUGAGUCCUAUUAAUCAAAAUACCCUGCAACGAUCUUCCUCAGUGCGGUCCAUGGUGUCCAGUGCCACAUAUGGGGGUUCAGAUGAUUACAUUGGUCUUGCUCUCCCGGUGGAUAUAAAUGAUAUAUUCCAGGUAAAGGAUAUUCCCUAUUUUCAGACAAAAAACAUACCACCACAUGAUGAUCGAGGUGCAAGAGCAUUUGCCCAUGAUGCAGGAGGUCUUCCAUCUGGAACUGGAGGUCUUGUAAAAAAUUCUUUUCACUUGCUACGACAGCAGAUGAGUCUUACGGAAAUAAUGAAUUCAAUCCAUUCAGAUGCCUCUCUGUUUUUAGAAAGUACAGAAGACACUGGACUACAGGAACAUACAGAUGAUAACUGCCUUUAUUGUGUCUGUAUUGAAAUUCUGGGUUUCCAGCCCAGCAACCAACUGAGUGCAAUAUGUAGUCAUUCAGACUUUCAAGAUAUUCCAUAUUCUGAUUGGUGUGAGCAGACUAUCCAUAAUCCUUUAGAAGUGGUUCCCUCUAAGUUUUCGGGGAUUUCUGGAUGCAGUGAUGGGGUGUCUCAAGAAGGCUCAGCUAGCAGCACCAAAAGCACAGAAUUGUUACUAGGUGUUAAAACAAUUCCAGAUGAUACACCAAUGUGCCGUAUACUCCUUCGCAAAGAAGUUCUAAGAUUAGUCAUUAAUUUGAGUAGUUCAGUUUCAACUAAAUGUCAUGAGACUGGGCUUUUAACAAUUAAGGAGAAGUAUCCUCAAACAUUUGAUGACAUAUGCCUUUACUCUGAGGUUUCCCAUUUGCUGUCACACUGCACAUUCAGACUUCCGUGUCGGAGGUUCAUACAAGAAUUAUUUCAAGAUGUACAGUUUCUACAAAUGCAUGAAGAAGCAGAGGCUGUGUUGGCAACACCACCAAAGCAACCUAUAGUUGAUACAUCUGCUGAAUCCUGACCUCAUAUUUAUGAUGGAUAUAGAUACAUACUAUAUAUAUUCAUAUUUGUGGAUUUCCUAAAAGCCUCAGAAAAUACGACUGACUAGGCAGCAAAGACAGGAGUAUCUUCUGCACACUGUUCCGCAGUUACUGGUACAUGAACAGUUGGAACUGCUGACUUUCCUAACCAAAACAACUUCCUUCUCUCCUUUGUUGAGCCUUUUGAGGGGUUCAUGAUUCAUUACCACAGUUUUAAGAGUUUUAGUUACCAUUGUAUGCAAGAGCCAAGCACUGAAUACCUACAUAGGUUUUCUAUUUUCUUUCAUUUUAAAAGCAUAAUGACAGUGGAACAAUAAUGGGAUAUGCAGAAGCACCCUUCACAAGUUAUUUCUGAAUGAUUUUUAGGGUAAAUUUACAGAUGCCUUGUUUGUUAACUAAUUUGUGGAAAGCAGGAAUCAGUGUCUCUAAGGCUGCAUCCUGUUACCACAAUGGGGUGUGCUAUAACUGCUGGUAUUAGAGAGGGAACUUUGGCCCUUUCAUGUUUUUCUUAAUGUUUGUAACACUACUUCAGAGGUUUAUAACCUCAAAGCAGAAGAAGAGCCUCAACAACCCGGGACUUAUAAGUUAUUUUUAUGUUACUAGACUUGCAUAAAGAUUCUUGUUUUCCAACUCUUCAUUUUGUUGCAAUGUGUUAUUACAGGAUAUAUGAACCAAUUAAGGUUUUUCACUACAGUUCUUGAAUAAAAUUUAAAAAUCAUUUUUUAUUUUAAUUAAAAAUAUUUCCCAUUUAUAGAAUGCAUAUAUUUGCAAUGGACUUCCACUUUCAUCAACUUUCCAUCUCAUCGCUUUAAACAGGAACUUGAACAAGCACUGUUAGUUUAGACCUAAAGGAUAGGAAAGCAUUAAAUAAUACUUUGGAUCUCCUGAGGAAAAGAUAAGUUUGCUUGCAAUUUACACAUUCCAUGGGGAAAGAAGAGCCAUAUUUCCUUUAAAAAAAAACAUUAAUAAAGCUUGUUAUUAAGAAAAAUUGUAGUGAAAAGCCUUAAGUACCAAAUUUUAAAGCAGCAGUAACUUAAUUUUUAUAUCAGUGUUUUUGUUUUGCACAAACUAAAUGCAGUGGUAGGUGGGUUUAUGAGUAUAUUAAUUGCCUUUAUCCAUUUGUGAAGUUAAGUUGAUGAGGGCAAGGUUUUUGUUUGUUUAAUUUGUAUGUGUCUAAAGGUAUUUGGAACUUUUUACAGGAAUUAAACAUAUAUGCAAAUUUGUAUAUAAAAAUAGCAUGGCCAUCAUUUGAAUGCUUGUAAAUGAAAGGAUUAUCUUUUUUGAGAUCUACAUAUAAAUAGAAAUAGAAAAUCCAGCUGGACUGAUUAGGAUUCUUUUUUAAUUCAUUUGUGUAUAACAUUUUUAUUACAAUUACACAUCAGUUUUGACACAGUCAUAGCAACAUUAAUAUUUUCCCAUGAUGCAGAUCCUUUUUGUAAUGGGCUUGUUCUUUGAGAUCUCUGUAAAGAACCCUGUGAACUAGAAAACAUAACUCACAGAGAUACUUUUUUAAAAAAUUUAUUUACUGGCACUGAAAGUUCCAGUUGGGAUGAAGCAUUUCAUCUCACUUCAUAACACCUCUUUGACUGCACUUCAGUGAAUUGUUCUUAUGUGCACUGUGUAGCAACUUACAUUAUAACAAAGCAGAUAAGGGCUGUAAGCUGCUGCUUAUGUUGAAAAGUGGUUCUUCAGAUUUUCUCUCAUAAAAUCCAAUUGAAGAUAAAUAAUUUUUUUAUACUUUAUCACUGAACCCAAGUGUUUAUUUAAAUGUCAACAGUACUUCUAAGAACGUUGCCUGUCAUCGUGGUCUUUGGUCUUGGAUAACUAAACUGCCUUUCCAGAGAACCAAAUGUCAGAGUUACUAGACCAAAUAGUGGUUAAAACCUCCAAAGGAAGUAAUGUAGUAAUCUUAUUCAUAAUGGGUUUUAGACAUUCAUUUUAAACACUACCUCAGUUAAUAUAGAGUAUAAAAUCUGUGGUUUAAUCCCUCAAAAGUUAACAGUAAUUUUUUUUUGUCUUACACACACACACACACACACACACACCUCCUCCCCCACCAUCACUAUCCCUGUACCCUCACCUUGGUCAUCUAUCCUGAAAUAAGGCUUAGUUAGUGUUGGCCUGAAUGUUUCGUGUUUUUUUUUUUUUUACUGUUACUUUGAAAAAUAUGUAUGUAUACCUUAUCAUAUCUGCCUAUAUCACUUACUUUGGGGAGAUACUCAGAGCUUUGUGGUUAUCAGUAUACUAAAAAAAAAAAAAAAAAAAAGUCUACGCUUAAAUUUAUAGUGCUAUUUGGUUUCUCCAUGAUUUCACUGACAGGUCUAAUACAUUUUCUUUGAGUACUUGUUUGUAAAAAGUAGACUUUAUGGUGAAAAAUACAUGCAGUGCCAAGUGAUUAACUUAGGUGUUUAAAAAUAUUAAAUUAUAGCAGAAGAGGUUAGGAAUGAUAUCAGCAGUAAUAGAAAUAAUUGAGAAAAUCAUCUAUAAAUAAUAGAUAUUACAGACUAUAGAAUACCAAAAUAAUGUCAAUACUGUAGUUUUUAAAGAUUUUAGGAUUAAUCUUAGUCCAUAUAAAUUUGUACUAUUGGUAAUUAUUGAAUAAUUGGGAGGAAUCUGGGCAGUUGUGCUGGUUGUAAACUGUGAAUUUCUAAUCGUAAAGUGAAUUGUUAUUUCUAAUUGAACUUUUUUUCAAGAACAGAUUUCAGCCUCACAUACUAAGUAAAUACUGAUAAAUAAGGAAAUUAGAAAUUUAGUAUUCAUAAUUAAAUAUGCUCUAAAAUUUCUUAUACUUUUAUUUCCUGUUUAUUCUUAGGUAGAUUGGAAGGGGGAAACAGUCUGUUCUCCCUAAUUAAAUUUUUUCUAAUAACGAUUAGUAGAAUAAGGACAUUCUAUAUGACAGUGACAUUAAAAGAGGCUCUUUGGAAGUAUAUACAUUAUUAUAACAUAAUGUGUACAAGUCCUUUUGAAAUGACAACUUUAAUGGGUUUCAGCUCUUUUAUCUAGAGCUCGAGAUAAUUCAAGCUGAGUUUUUCAGGGCAUAUCACAACGGCAAAGUGUUCAGCAGUGGGAUAUCAAUGCUUAUUUACAUUUUCCUACUGCUAUUUAUAUAAAAUGUUAUUUCAUUCCAUUCAGAGGAUGCCUUUUAUCCCCACAUUAAAGCACAGAUCAUUAAGCAAUAAAAACCAAAUUGUCUGUCAUUCAAAUUAUAACUGCAGUUAUUUUUGCAUGGUAAGAGUGAGGUGCUAAUUUUGUGUGAGAUGAACUUUGUAAACUACUUUGGGAAAUGUUCUUUGGAAGUAAGGUUUUUUCCCCUUUAGUCUUAUGCUUCCACUUUUGUCUCGGAUUCACAAUCCAUUAAAACAUGGGGAAAAAAGAAAAGGUAAAAUUGAGAGACUUUUGUUAGAGGAGCUAUUUGGAAUGAACCAACAUUUCAGAUUUUCCAAAAUGUAAGUUAGGAAGUCUUCAUUGUCUCUGCAUUAACAAAAUACACUGUUACUAUCUUAAUCUCAAGAGUGUCAUUACAGUGAGAAUCUCAUUUAAAAGCAUACCAGUGAAAUUAAUAGCAGUGCUUAUCAAAGAACACUGAAAUCUGUGAGAAUCUUUCUAGGAGCAUUCUUUUCUUCUUUUAGUUCCAAGUUCCAGGGUAUUUUUCAUUCCUAGUAGGUUUAUAUGACUCACAGAAUGUGGACUUUUUUCCUGUUUGGAGUAUUUUUGUAAUGUAAGUAUCGGAUAGCUACACCACAGCAUGCAUAAAUUGCACAUUUUGUUUUACUUUCUUUAUAGAAUAUUUAAUUUCAAAAAUAUAAUUUAUGCCAAAAAAAGCAUACCUUUCAAUUUUGCUACUUGGUUGAUUUCGCACAAAAUGCAAAGUCUUGGGGCAGAGAGGGGGAGUGAAAAAAAUUUUAUAGGUAAUUGUUACAAAAAUGCCUGUCAGAAACCCUAAAGCUGCAUUGUAAAACAAAUGGUGUAAAUUAGUUUUGAAAAGUGGUAAGGAAUUGUGAAAAAAAUCUCAGACUUAAUGCUCUCUAACCACAUGAGUUUCUUCUUUUUUAUUUAGUAAUACGCUGCUACAUAUUUGGAGGUUCUGGUGUUUGUAGGUCACUGAACAGACAUUGAAAUCUGAUUUAUAUUGUAUAACUGUAACAUAGAAAGAAAAAGUAUUUAUAUUUUUUCUGUAAGAAUAUUUCAUUGAGUUGUGUAUAAUUUAAAUAAGAUUUGUCCCCAAAUGGUUUUGCUCACCUUGAUUUUUUUUGUUGUGAUUUUCUUGUUUUUGUAUAAUGUGUAUAGUUUAUGUCAAGGGCAUUAAAAGCCUCCUGAAGCAUAAUCUUAUCAAAG
rnacentral:lncRNA from 1 species